rnacentral:rRNA from 1 species
UACGAAGGGGCUAGCGUUGUUCGGAAUUACUGGGCGUAAAGCGCGCGCAGGCGGUCUUCCAAGUCAGUGGUGAAAGCCCGGAGCUCAACUCCGGAACUGCCAUUGAAACUGUUAGACUUGAGGACGAGAGAGGUGAGUGGAAUUCCCAGUGUAGAGGUGAAAUUCGUAGAUAUUGGGAAGAACACCGGUGGCGAAGGCGGCUCACUGGCUCGUAUCUGACGCUCAGGCGCGACAGCGUGGGGAUCGAAACAGG